CUGCCAUGUUUCCUUGCUUCUGUGGUGGUGCUGCUCGCACACCACUGGUGAGCUGUAGGCUGUAACUGCAUGUAUCACUGACUUUACUGGUGUGGUGAAUAGAUAGCUAUUAUGCUUCCAGCUUCAGGUCUGGUUGUUCUUUGUGGCAACACUUUACAUCUUGGUUACUCUCAGCUGUUUUGGGAGGGGAGACCCCAGGCCUGCCCCAGCAGGGCCCCCCAGCUGGUGCCCAGCCCCACGUCCAGGUGGCUCUGGAAGCCCCUCAGGGAGGAGCCCCCCAGCCUCUGUGGGCAGCCUGUGCCAGGCCCCGAGAUGCUGCCUGAGGGGCUGCGGGCUGAGCCCUGCCUCUGGGCUUGGCCCUGGGCACCACUGGCAGCUGCCUGGCUCCAUCCAGAGCAGGGCUCCAUCCAGACAGUUGGAUGCUUCUGCGUGUUUUUAACAUUUACCCCUGCAGAUAGGGUUACAGUAAGCUGUUAUUUUCUGGAAGCGUGUGAAGAUCAGGGUGAUGGCAGAAGACAACUCUUUGCCCUGCUGAAGCCCACUCCGGAGAAUUCACCCAAGCUGGAAGGGUGGACAGGGGCUGUCAGGAGGAACAGAUGGUUCUUAUUUCUAAUUUUACAGUGUUUUCUCCCCUUCCCGCACCCCCUGUGGUCAGAUUAAAUGAUUUCUUUUAUUAAUUCCAGUGACUUCUGUAAACAGACUGUGUAAAUAUACAUAAACAAAUGCCAGAUCUGCCUUGGUUUGUACAUUUGAGAGCAAAUCUCUGGCCAGGGGAGGAAGGAGGAUAGAGGCACGGGUCGCCUUUUAUCUUUGCUGGAGUAAACCUGUCCCCUGGGCUGGGGGUGUGUGCUGGCUCUAAAGGGCAGGGGCCCCAGCAUUGCAACGUCUGGGAGGCUUGAAGCCUGCAGUUGUUGUUCCAGAUGUUGUAUGGUCUUUUAAAAUUAAAGAAAAAACAAGAAGCUAUUAGUAUUCCUGAUGUGCAGCUGAGAGGAUGUGCUGGUGACUGGCAGGGAGGGAAGAAGCUCUGUGGCCGCGUUGGGCUGGGGGUAGAGGAAUAAGCUAUCGCAGCUCCACCAGGAAAAGGAGAGUCUGAGGGGAGGACAAAUGACAAGCUUGUUCUCCUGGAGCAGUGCAGCUCAGAUAGGCUUCUUGCCCUUGGCAUCUUCUUCACUCCACACCUUGCAAAAUAGUUCCAAGCUCGUCUGUCCCCUUUAUGAACUCGGAGAAGGGAGGAAAAAUUCUGGAGAUGAGAAGACUUGGGACUGAAAAUGGCACUCUUGGAUGUCCAUGCAGCAGUGCUGGAUGUGUUUUGGGAAAACCAGUGAAGUUGGCUGUCUGUCUGCAGAUGGAGGUUGAUGGGCUUCAGUGGGAACACCUACCUUCUACUCUGGUGCAAAAUAAAUCCCACUCAGUGCAAACUGCUGUGGUAUAUCAUUUAAGCUCUUCUGUCUUUAUGCUGAAUAUCAAUUAAAGCUCCUUGGGUUGGUUUUGAGAGUGUAUGAGUGUAGCGUCUCAAAGCCCUACCUACCUUUUUCCAAAGUAGGGAUAACCUCAAUACUUAAAGGAGCAAAAUUUUCUAAAACACUGAAAAGCUCUUUUAAGCCAGCAACACAAUGCUUUAAUUUCCUGUUGGAUAAAGCCUCGGCAAAUGUAAAAUAUUAAAUGGUCAGAUGAAUACAGGGAUUAUCCUUUUUUGGGAAGGGUGGAGGUGGGGAUUCCAGCUCAGCCACUCUGUCCAACCCAUUGUCCAUCAAAGCAGUUGAUGCCAUUCCUGUGCUGCCAGGAUAGAUGCUGGAGCCUUCUGCUUGAAGCUUGUGACAUUGCAGCUCGGUGGGUGGAGGAGCUGGAUUUGUUUUACGUGCUGUUCUGCAGUUGGGGCCCAGUGGGGCUUCUGCGAUGGGAAGGGGAGGCUUCUCUGCAGCUGCAAGUUAAAGGAUAAACAAGAGGAAAAACAAAGAUGUUAGCACAGUUUGUGCUUGGUUGGGAUGUCCAGACACUGAGCAAUGAAAACAGACCAGAUGUGGCGUAUCUGGUGUGAGUGGUUUUGGCAGUCCUCUUUGUGGAGCACCAUCCUUCCCAGGCCUGCACACUCAGCUGGGUGCAGGACGCGAUGGGCUUUCCCCCUGGAGACUUCACUGUAGACCUGAGUUUUUUAAUUUCUUCUUCCUUUUUUAAUGCAUUCCCUUGAGGAGGAGAGUUGAGCAAUGGUUGUGGCUCAUCUGAACAGCUUCCAUACUUGCAUGGAACCAAAAAAAAAACCCAACAAAAAACACUUUCGCCAAAGCUGUGCAGGUACCAAUGUAAGAUGAUGAUCACCUGUCCUCCCAUCUGUAGUAGUGCCGGAGGACUGCAGAGGUAGUGCAAAUAUUAAUAUUUCUCUCUUUUUGCAUUAUUUCAAAUAUACAAAACCUACACCUACCUACAAAACCUAAACCUACCUUCCAAACCUACAAAAGUUGAACAUGUCUAUGAUCAUGCAGUUUGUAAAGGGGGAGUCAUGCAAAAAUGUUAUAAGGGGUGUGUUGAUGUCUUGUUCUGGAAAACAAAUCUAGAGUUUAAUUUUGACUUUAAAAUGAAUUGAACGUUGUAUAUGUACAGAAUAACCACAGACACACUGUUGAAGAUGCCAUACAUAGAAAAAUCACUAAAUAAAGGGUUCUUUGGAAAAAUUUAAA